GAUACAUUUAUUGGUUAUUUUUUUUAACAAUUGCUGUAAAGCAUAAGGAACACAUUCUUCAAUUACAUCAAAACAUGGUGCAAUCACUGUGAUGGGGCACAAUCUGUUGUCAGUUGUCAUGGGUUUCCACGCAAUAAAUCUGCUCCAUUUCAAACAGGUGUGAUUGGGUGAUUGGGUAUAAGGUACCUGCAGAACCUGGUUUUGACCAGCAACGAAGGAUGAAGUUAUAGUUACUCUAAAAGAUGACAGAGGUGCUAUCAAAGUACCAGAAAGCAGAGAAAGUGCUGACAAACUGGCAACUGAUAACCAGUACGCCUCUGACAUACUGGAACAAGUAAGGAAACUUUCAGGGGUGGGGAGUGCACCACCAGGCACCAUCAUUUCCACACCAGUCUUUCCCAGUCAAUCUCCAUCAUCUGAACUCAGUCGGUCUUCAACACCUGAACAGUGUGACACAGACAAUCAGCAGCCUGACCACUG